rnacentral:rRNA from 1 species
GAUGAACGCUGGCGGCGUGCCUAAUACAUGCAAGUCGAGCGAACGGACGAGAAGCUUGCUUCUCUGAUGUUAGCGGCGGACGGGUGAGUAACACGUGGAUAACCUACCUAUAAGACUGGGAUAACUUCGGGAAACCGGAGCUAAUACCGGAUGAUAUUUUGAACCGCAUGGUUCAAAAGUGAAAGACGGUCUUGCUGUCACUUAUAGAUGGAUCCGCGCUGCCUUAGCUAGUUGGUAAGGUAACGGCUUACCAAGGCAACGAUGCAUAGCCGACCUGAGAGGGUGAUCGGCCACACUGGAACUGAGACACGGUCCAGACUCCUACGGGAGGCAGCAGUAGGGAAUCUUCCGCAAUGGGCGAAAGCCUGACGGAGCAACGCCGCGUGAGUGAUGAAGGUCUUCGGAUCGUAAAACUCUGUUAUUAGGGAAGAACAUAUGUGUAAGUAACUGUGCACAUCUUGACGGUACCUAAUCAGAAAGCCACGGCUAACUACGUG